rnacentral:rRNA from 1 species
AGNNNACCGACUAAUUCGGAAGCAUUUGCCAAGAAUGUUUUCGUUAAUCAAGAACGAAAGUUAGAGGUUCGAAGGCGAUCAGAUACCGCCCUAGUUCUAACCAUAAACGAUGCCAACCAGCGAUCCGUGGCGUUACGAAUGACCCGACGAGCAGCUUUCGGGAAACCAAAGUUUUUGGGUUCCGGGGGAAGUAUGGUUGCAAAGCCGAAACUUAAAGGAAUUGACGGAAGGGCACCACCAGGAGUGGAGCCUGCGGCUUAAUUUGACUCAACACGGGAAACCUCACCAGGCCCGGACACUUGGAGGAUUGACAGAUUGAGAGCUCUUUCUUGAUUCAGUGGGUGGUGGUGCAUGGCCGUUCUUAGUUGGUGGAGCGAUUUGUCUGGUUAAUUCCGAUAACGAACGAGACCCUAGCCUGCUAAAUAGGCAGAGGAUCCUCUCGGUAGUGUCGACUUCUUAGAGGGACAGGUGGCGUUUAGCCACACUAGAUUGGGCAAUAACAGGUCUGUGAUGCCCUUAGAUGUUCUGG